rnacentral:lncRNA from 1 species
AAUUUGGAUGGACCGACAACGUCGGGUCAUUUUUUACGUAGUCAGAACUAUACAAAACAACACUGCAUAUGUAAGGUAACACCAAAGUUACAUUGUUCGCUAAAAGAUCUUGAUUUUACUAUUCUCCAUACUAUAUUUAGACAUUCUGUUACUCUUUCGACAAGUGUUGAAAACUGGCUUACAGUUAUCCAAAACAUACGAAAUAAACUUGCACAUGUGCACAGUACGAGCAAUUUUGACACUGGCAGAUUAGAAAAAUGGUGGACAAAACUAGAGGGGUCUGUGAUAGGUUUAGCCGGAG